UUUCGACACACUAUCAUUAACUGAAUCCAUAGGUUAAUGAGGCGAACCGGGGGAACUGAAACAUCUAAGUACCCCGAGGAAAAGAAAUCAACCGAGAUUCCCCCAGUAGCGGCGAGCGAACGGGGAGGAGCCCAGAGCCUGAAUCAGUGUGUGUGUUAGUGGAAGCGUCUGGAAAGGCGCGCGAUACAGGGUGACAGCCCCGUACACAAAAAUGCACAUAUUGUGAGCUCGAUGAGUAGGGCGGGACACGUGGUAUCCUGUCUGAAUAUGGGGGGACCAUCCUCCAAGGCUAAAUACUCCUGACUGACCGAUAGUGAACCAGUACCGUGAGGGAAAGGCGAAAAGAACCCCGGCGAGGGGAGUGAAAAAGAACCUGAAACCGUGUACGUACAAGCAGUGGGAGCCUCUUAAUGGGGUGACUGCGUACCUUUUGUAUAAUGGGUCAGCGACUUAUAUUCUGUAGCAAGGUUAACCGAAUAGGGGAGCCGAAGGGAAACCGAGUCUUAACUGGGCGUUAAGUUGCAGGGUAUAGACCCGAAACCCGGUGAUCUAGCCAUGGGCAGGUUGAAGGUUGGGUAACACUAACUGGAGGACCGAACCGACUAAUGUUGAAAAAUUAGCGGAUGACUUGUGGCUGGGGGUGAAAGGCCAAUCAAACCGGGAGAUAGCUGGUUCUCCCCGAAAGCUAUUUAGGUAGCGCCUCGUGAAUUCAUCUCCGGGGGUAGAGCACUGUUUCGGCAAGGGGGUCAUCCCGACUUACCAACCCGAUGCAAACUGCGAAUACCGGAGAAUGUUAUCACGGGAGACACACGGCGGGUGCUAACGUCCGUCGUGAAGAGGGAAACAACCCAGACCGCCAGCUAAGGUCCCAAAGUCAUGGUUAAGUGGGAAACGAUGUGGGAAGGCCCAGACAGCCAGGAUGUUGGCUUAGAAGCAGCCAUCAUUUAAAGAAAGCGUAAUAGCUCACUGGUCGAGUCGGCCUGCGCGGAAGAUGUAACGGGGCUAAACCAUGCACCGAAGCUGCGGCAGCGACACUAUGUGUUGUUGGGUAGGGGAGCGUUCUGUAAGCCUGUGAAGGUGGCCUGUGAGGGUUGCUGGAGGUAUCAGAAGUGCGAAUGCUGACAUAAGUAACGAUAAAGCGGGUGAAAAGCCCGCUCGCCGGAAGACCAAGGGUUCCUGUCCAACGUUAAUCGGGGCAGGGUGAGUCGACCCCUAAGGCGAGGCCGAAAGGCGUAGUCGAUGGGAAACAGGUUAAUAUUCCUGUACUUGGUGUUACUGCGAAGGGGGGACGGAGAAGGCUAUGUUGGCCGGGCGACGGUUGUCCCGGUUUAAGCGUGUAGGCUGGUUUUCCAGGCAAAUCCGGAAAAUCAAGGCUGAGGCGUGAUGACGAGGCACUACGGUGCUGAAGCGACAAAUGCCCUGCUUCCAGGAAAAGCCUCUAAGCAUCAGGUAACAUCAAAUCGUACCCCAAACCGACACAGGUGGUCAGGUAGAGAAUACCAAGGCGCUUGAGAGAACUCGGGUGAAGGAACUAGGCAAAAUGGUGCCGUAACUUCGGGAGAAGGCACGCUGAUAUGUAGGUGAAGCGACUUGCUCGUGGAGCUGAAAUCAGUCGAAGAUACCAGCUGGCUGCAACUGUUUAUUAAAAACACAGCACUGUGCAAACACGAAAGUGGACGUAUACGGUGUGACGCCUGCCCGGUGCCGGAAGGUUAAUUGAUGGGGUUAGCGGUAACGCGAAGCUCUUGAUCGAAGCCCCGGUAAACGGCGGCCGUAACUAUAACGGUCCUAAGGUAGCGAAAUUCCUUGUCGGGUAAGUUCCGACCUGCACGAAUGGCGUAAUGAUGGCCAGGCUGUCUCCACCCGAGACUCAGUGAAAUUGAACUCGCUGUGAAGAUGCAGUGUACCCGCGGCAAGACGGAAAGACCCCGUGAACCUUUACUAUAGCUUGACACUGAACAUUGAGCCUUGAUGUGUAGGAUAGGUGGGAGGCUUUGAAGUGUGGACGCCAGUCUGCAUGGAGCCGACCUUGAAAUACCACCCUUUAAUGUUUGAUGUUCUAACGUGGGCCCCUUACCGGGGUUGCGGACAGUGUCUGGUGGGUAGUUUGACUGGGGCGGUCUCCUCCUAAAGAGUAACGGAGGAGCACGAAGGUUGGCUAAUCCUGGUCGGACAUCAGGAGGUUAGUGCAAUGGCAUAAGCCAGCUUGACUGCGAGCGUGACGGCGCGAGCAGGUGCGAAAGCAGGUCAUAGUGAUCCGGUGGUUCUGAAUGGAAGGGCCAUCGCUCAACGGAUAAAAGGUACUCCGGGGAUAACAGGCUGAUACCGCCCAAGAGUUCAUAUCGACGGCGGUGUUUGGCACCUCGAUGUCGGCUCAUCACAUCCUGGGGCUGAAGUAGGUCCCAAGGGUAUGGCUGUUCGCCAUUUAAAGUGGUACGCGAGCUGGGUUUAGAACGUCGUGAGACAGUUCGGUCCCUAUCUGCCGUGGGCGCUGGAGAACUGAGGGGGGCUGCUCCUAGUACGAGAGGACCGGAGUGGACGCAUCACUGGUGUUCGGGUUGUCAUGCCAAUGGCACUGCCCGGUAGCUAAAUGCGGAAGAGAUAAGUGCUGAAAGCAUCUAAGCACGAAACUUGCCCCGAGAUGAGUUCUCCCUGACUCCUUGAGAGUCCUGAAGGAACGUUGAAGACGACGACGUUGAUAGGCCGGGUGUGUAAGCGCAGCGAUGCGUUGAGCUAACCGGUACUAAUGAACCGUGAGGCUUAACCUUACAACGCCGAAG
rnacentral:rRNA from 1 species